CAGCCGCCGCGGUAAUACCGGCGGCCCGAGUGGCGGUCACUAUUAUUUGGCUUAAAGCGUCCGUAGCCGGGUUGGGAAGUCCUCCGGGAAAUCUGGCCGCUUAACGGUCAGAAUGCCGGAGGAUACUCCCAGCCUAGGGAGCGGGAGAGGCCGAGGGUAUUCCCGGAGUAGGGGGGAAAUCCUAUAAUCCCGGGAGGACCACCUGUGGCGAAGGCGCUCGGCUGGAACGCGUCCGACGGGGAGGGACGAAGGCCAGGGGAGCAAACCGGAUUAGAUACCCGGGUAGUCCUGGCUGUAAACGAUGCGGACUUUGUGUCGGACAAGCUAUGAGCUUGUCCGGUGCCGGAGGGAAACCGUUAAGUCCGCCGCCUGGGGAGUACGGCCGCAAGGCUGAAACUUAAAGGAAUUGGCGGG
rnacentral:rRNA from 1 species